UACGUAGGUGGCAAGCGUUGUCCGGAUUUACUGGGUUUAAAGGGUGCGUAGGUGGGCAGGUAAGUCAGUGGUGAAAUCUCCGGGCUUAACCCGGAAACUGCCAUUGAUACUAUCUGUCUUGAAUUUCCUGGAGGUAAGCGGAAUAUGUCAUGUAGCGGUGAAAUGCUUAGAUAUGACAUAGAACACCAAUUGCGAAGGCAGCUUACUACGGGAAUAUUGACACUGAGGCACGAAAGCGUGGGGAUCAAACAGG
rnacentral:rRNA from 1 species